GAUGGGAGCACUAGAUAUCUGUGAAGAAUAUCCUUAUAUACUUAAGAAGCACUAAGGAUAUAUUUUUGAUCUUUGGAGGAGAAAAAAAUUUAGGGUUUGGGGAAACAUAGAUUGAUGGUAGAAGGUCUACAUCAACAUGUGUUAUGGUGGUGCAGCAUAUUGAAAAAAUUUCAAACAACCGAUCAUUAAAAAUUUCACAAUGGAGGUAGAGUUCAUCACCAUUUUUAACGGUGCUAAGGUAGCUUUCUGAUUUAUGUAGUUUAUUAUAUAGUUCCAAGUGAUGACAUGAGAUGACAUAUAACUUUACUGCGACAACAUCGGUGC
rnacentral:lncRNA from 1 species